rnacentral:rRNA from 1 species
UGAAUGGCGAGUUUGAUCCUGGCUCAGGAUAAACGCUGGCGGCGUGCCUAACACAUGCAAGUCGAACGUCUCUUUCUUCGGGAAGAGGAGUGGCGGACGGGUGAGGAACACGUGGGAACCUGCCCUUUAGUGAGGAAUACCGGCGAGAAAUCGCCGACAAGACCGCAUAGCCCUCUUUGAUGAGAGUCAAAGAAGGAAAGCUUCGCAAGAGGCGCUAGAGGAGGGGCCUGCGUCCGAUUAGCUAGUUGGUGGGGUAAGAGCCUACCAAGGCGUCGAUCGGUAGCUGGUCUGAGAGGACGAUCAGCCACACUGGGAUUGAGAACGGCCCAGACUCCUACGGGGGGCAGCAGUGAGGAAUUUUCGGCAAUGGGGGAAACCCUGACCGAGCAACGCCGCGUGCAGGAAGACGGCCUUCGGGUUGUAAACUGCUUUUCUUUGGGACGAGAACGGACGGUACCAGAGGAAUCAGCCCCGGCUCACUACGUGCCAGCAGCCGCGGUAAUACGUAGGGGGCGAGCGUUGUCCGGAGUGACUGGGCGUAAAGGGCCCGCAGGCGGUGACGCGCGUUUUGAGUGACAGCUCCCGGCUUCACUGGGAGAGUAUUCAGAAGACGGCGUGACUUGAGGGUGAGAGAGGGACACGGAAUUCCGGGUGUAGUGGUGAAAUGCGUAGAUAUCCGGAGGAACACCGAAGGCGAAGGCAGUGUCCUGGCUCAUACCUGACGCUGAGGGGCGAAAGCUAGGGGAGCGAACGGGAUUAGAUACCCCGGUAGUCCUAGCCGUAAACGAUGACCACUAGGUGUGCGAGGUAUCGACCCCUUGCGUGCCGUCGCAAACGCAAUAAGUGGUCCGCCUGGGGAGUACGGUCGCAAGAUUAAAACUCAAAGGAAUUGACGGGGACCCGCACAAGCAGCGGAGCGUGUGGUUUAAUUCGAUGCAACGCGAAGAACCUUACCAGGGUUUGACAUGCUUUUGCACCGCCGAGAGAUCGGCGUCCUCGCAAGAGGCGGAAGCACAGGUGCUGCAUGGCUGUCGUCAGCUCGUGCCGUGAGGUGUUGGGUUAAGUCCCGCAACGAGCGCAACCCCCGUGGUCGGUUGUAAGUUUCCGACCAGACUGCCACGAUCAACGUGGAGGAAGGUGGGGAUGACGUCAAGUCAGCACGGCCCUUACGUCCUGGGCGACACACACGCUACAAUGGCCGAGACAACGGGACGCCAACCCGCGAGGGGGAGCCAAUCCCAGCAAACUCGGUCUCAGUUCAGAUUGCAGGCUGCAACCCGCCUGCAUGAAGAUGGAGUUGCUAGUAACCGUGGGUCAGCACACCACGGUGAAUACGUUCCCGGGUCUUGUACACACCGCCCGUCACACCACGAAAGUCGGCAACACCUGAAGCCGCUGGGCUAACCUCUCAGGAGGAGGCACGCGUCGAGGGUGGGGUCGGUGAUUGGGGUGAAGUCGUAACAAGGUAGCCGUACCGGAAGGUGCGGCUGGAUCACCUCCUUU